rnacentral:lncRNA from 12 species
UUUACGUGAGAUGGUCUGAGCGGAGUGUAUGGCUAGCUUUGGGCUUUAAUCUCUGACUGGCUAGUAUACCAGCAUCUCUUUUCAAGUUUUUUAAAGCACUUACCUCCAAGUAAGACUCAAUUCUCAUUCUAUUGCAUUUGUUUUAUUAUCUUGUGGCAUGUAUUAUUUUUAGGAAUUGUCUUAAGGUUUUUGAAAUUAUAUUUUUCUUUACUGUAGGUAUUCUCCUUCUGGUCUGGAAGCACUCUGAGAAGAAGGGUCUUCUCUGUGUCAUUCACUUUGGGACCCUCAGAGCCUAGAAGACUCAUUAGCACUUAUCUCUGUAUGCUUGAGAGGACAAGGAUCACAUCCUGGACAACUCCUUCAGCCUGAUGCCCAGGAGACUGCAGGCACCCCAAGGAAUGGAAAUGGAGCUGCCUAGGACUUCAGAGGAGCAGACCAAGCCAGAGACACCACCCAAAGAUCUCUCGAUGACCAUCUUUUAUGUCUACAAAACAACAAGGGAAGAAAGAAAGAAAGAAAGAAAGAAAGAAAGAAAGAAAGAAAGAAAGAAAGAAAGAAAGAAAGAAAGAAAGAAGAAAGAAAGAGAAAAGGAAAAGAAAAGAAAAGAAAAGAAAAGAAAAGAAAAGAAAAGAAAAGAAAAGAAAAAAAACGAGAAAAGAAAGGAGGAGAGGAGGGAAGUAGGGUAUUGUGUCCUCUAUACAUUUAAGGCAAACCCAUGGCUCCAACUGUGCCGCUCCCUGAGCUCACAGGCCUCAGAUCUGUUGGUAGCUUUUGUCCCCAAGAUGACCCCAUCUUACUGGUUUCCAGACUAGUUCCUUGGGAACUUCUUGGAAGUGCCAUAGUGGUUCAUUAUGGAGGAAUCAGGUAAGAACUAAACCAGUCUCCUAACCCAUAGCAUCCAGAGGGCUGCUCUACAUAGUCACUACAGUGGCUUUUCAUUCCACAGAAUCUAUUUUCUUUCUUUCUUUUCUUCGGUUCCUUCCUCAUUUUUCUCCCUCCAUCCUUCCUUCUAUUCUUCCAUAAAGUUCUUGGAUCAAUAAUUUUUUUAAAAGUUUUUUUUUUUUUUUCUUGAAUCAAAAGUGUGAUCAAGGAGCAAUUCCCUGAGGCAUUAAUGACCAAAGAAAAAGCAAAAUGUAGGGCAAGUGGGUGGGCUCUGGAAUCAGGCCCUCCUGGCUUCUGAUUCAAACCAUGUCCCUUUAGCAGCUGUCACAACUGACUUCCUUUCCUCUAGGCUCAGUUUCAUCUCCCCUUGGGGAUUACCAUUUUUCCCUCACAACCUUUACAUGAGGAUUAAACAACCCAUGUGAAAAUGCUUCUUCCAGUGUUUGAUACAUACUGGGUGCCUCUGUAUCCCUUUGGUGGCCUGUAUGGUGCCCAGACAAUAUGCCCUCCCCAACGUACAACUACAGCAUAUGCAUGUUAUAUGUGUAGGCAAAACAAUGAACACAAGGGGUGAUGCAAAGUGAUGUGAAAUCCUAAAAAACCUCAUCUUCUUUUUUUUUAAAUUUAUUUAUUUAUGAGAGAGAGAGAGAGACUCAGGCAGAGACACAGGCAGAGGGAGAAGCAGGCUCCAUGCUGGGAGCCCGACAUGGGACUCCAUCCUGGGACUCCAGGAUCGUGCCUUGGGCCGAAGGCAGGUGCUAAACCGCUGAGCUGCUGAGCCGCCCAGGGAUCCCCAAAACCUCAUCUUCUACGCGUGUUUUCACAACUCCCAUAGAUCUCAUAUUCUCAUGAUUAGAAAAACUUGCCCUUAUCUGAAACUUUUUGGGGGGCAGGAGUACAAGACUCUACACUUUUAACCACUUCUCUCCCAUCCUGUGAUAUAUCUACAAAAGAUCCCCAGAUUAAGGCAUCGGACCUUCAAAGUUCCCAGGCAAAUGUGAAUAACCCAAUGUUGGAAACAUUCAUCUGUGAGAGCCACUGCUAUCUGCACAGUAUUUUCCCCUUUGCCUGACUCAAUGGGCCUCAGGUUUUUCUCUCUUCUGAUAAAGAUGAUAAAGUUCCUCAUUUUUUGGCUGACAAAAUAUUUUUCUGACAAAUGUGAAGGAUACAAAUGUGAAGGAUUCUCACCAGUCCUUACUGAACUUGAACAUCUGCCCAGAUGCUUGGAGAAUGCAGCCUGUUUUUAUACACUAUGUUAAUCACACAGAAAAACAAAGAAGACAGACAUGAGAGUAACGGACUCUUAACACAUAGAUGGCUGGCAGCAGAAAAGAGGGGAGGAGAACUCAGGAUCAAUGGAAGCUUCAGAUUUUUGAAUCAGAUAAUCUUUCAGUAAAAAUUAUGACUCAGUAAAAAUCACUCAGUAAAAAUUAUGCUAAGUGGCAGAGGGAUGUUGGCUUACGUGACCUGGGAAGUCUUAAAGGAUAAGUCUUCUUUCUCGGGGUAUCUGUUAGAACCCAGGGGAUGUUCCAUCACUAGAUUUGGAUAAUUAAAAGAUUAUCUGCCUGUUUGUUUCAUUUUAUCCAGAUUGCUUCUGAGAGAUGGUAAAUGAGCCAGCGUCCCUCACUAAAUAAACUGUUCUCUAAAUAAAUAAAUAAAUAAAUA